AGGAGUUUUCCCGCUUCCACAAGGAGAUCACGCCCAUGUUUGACGGCCUCAACAACAACCGCGCCCACUGGAACGAGCAGGCCGAGGUGUACAACGCCAAGAUGAAGGCCAUCGAGGACGAGAAGAAGAAACUGGAGGAGGAGGAAGCCCGCAGAGCUGGUGGUGGUGACGGGAAGUCAAAAACGUGCACAAUCUGCUAAAUUCUACAUCGCAAUGCUCAGAUACGGACUACAGCUGGACUGGUUCAACCUUCUCUUUGGAUCUAUAAGCAGUACUUCCAACUUACCGGUUUCUUCUCGACCACAUUUUUUUUUUUUUUUUUUUUUUUUAAGUCUCACCUAGUUCCAUCCGGAUUAGCAACCCAAGGAGGCAAAUUUCCAAAAACAAUGAUGAACAAUAGGAGAACUUUCAGGACAAGUCGGACGAUGGAAUCAUUUUUUUCUCAGGAGAAACCUCUUCUUCUUCUUCGAACGGCAUCCAUGGACGUUAUCCUGUUUAUGCUUGCUGGCCAAUUAGCACGUUGAGUCGUUGCACAGAUGCGCAGUUUGUAUGAUUGACCACUAUCAAAGAAAAGUUUGAAACAUCCGAGUGUAACCAACAUGUUAUUUAUCGCUAUCAAAAUAUUGUGCUCUAUUUCCACCUCCAGCGGAUGACAAAAAUAAUUGUUUUACUUGUGCUGUCUUUCCAAGGCCCAAUGCAAAACACCCAGAACAUGUCAGCCUUUAUCUCUGAUGACAUGAUAUGAUUUCGAUGGCAAAAAUCCACAUAAAUCCUUUGCCUGCAUGACUUUACUUGAACAAAGCAGUACAGUUUGUCUAAAAAUAACUGAGAUGUGAAAUGGAUUUCAGAUGUAAUUAAAAAAAAAAAAAACAAAAAAAAACCACCAGCCUUUUUGCAUCUCCUGUAUAAGAAAAGAGAAAGCGGCAAUCCCAUAGGGUCCCCAACCACCGGUACCGGGCACAUCGACAGACCUGCGAGCUGUUCUGUGAGCAUAUUUGCUCCAUCAGACGUGGCGGAAACGUGGGCGACUCGAGCCAAUCGGA